rnacentral:rRNA from 1 species
GACGAACGCUGGCGGCGUGCUUAACACAUGCAAGUCGAACGGAAAGGCCCUGCUUUUGUGGGGUGCUCGAGUGGCGAACGGGUGAGUAACACGUGAGUAACCUGCCCUUGACUUUGGGAUAACUUCAGGAAACUGGGGCUAAUACCGGAUAGGAGCUCCUGCUGCAUGGUGGGGGUUGGAAAGUUUCGGCGGUUGGGGAUGGACUCGCGGCUUAUCAGCUUGUUGGUGGGGUAGUGGCUUACCAAGGCUUUGACAGGUAGCCGGCCUGGGAGGGUUACCGGCCACAUUAGGCCUGAGAUACGGCACAGCCUCCUAUCGGACGCAAGAGUGGGGAAUAUUAUACAAUGGGCGGGAGCCUGAUGUGGCAACGCCGCGUGCGGGAUGACGGCCUUGGGGUUGUGAACCACUUUCGCCUGUGACGAAGUGUUAGUGACGGUAAUGGGUAAAGAAGCACCGGCUAACUACGUG